GGCUACACAGACUGUGCAGAAUGUGGCACCUUCCUAUGGUCCUAUGUCAAGAAAAUCUGAUGCAGUCUGCUGUUAGGCACUUCCAACCAAUCCAGAAAUAUGCAGACAGAACCAACUGUCAAUCCCUCUAGAGACAGUUCUUUUCCUAAUCCAAAAACUUCUGAUGCAGGAUCUUCUGGCCAAUCUAGCUCUUGAAUGAAGAUUGCUGAUCUACCAGUUCACUACCUUGUUACUCAGGAUUUAUCAUUGAAUACUUUCUUACGCUUGUAACUGUAGAAGAAAAACUUCCUUAAGCUCUCAGGCCUAUGAUGACUAUACAUACACUCUUAUAUAUAAUGGAUGUAUGUACGUACGUGUGUG